rnacentral:rRNA from 1 species
UACAGAGGGGGCAAGCGUUAUUCGGAAUUAUUGGGCGUAAAGGGCGCGUAGGCGGGCUGUCAAGUCUGGGGUGAAAUCCCGCGGCUCAACCGUGGAACUGCCUUAGAUACUGACGGCCUCGAGGGAGAUAGGGGCGAGCGGAACUGUGAGUGGAGCGGUGAAAUGCGUUGAUAUCCACAGGAACUCCGGUGGCGAAGGCGGCUCGCUGGAUCUCUUCUGACGCUGAGGCGCGAAAGCUAGGGGAGCAAACGGG